AUUGAACGCUGGCGGCAGGCCUAACACAUGCAAGUCGAACGAGUGGCGGACGGGUGAGUAAUGUCUGGGAAACUGCCUGAUGGAGGGGGAUAACUACUGGAAACGGUAGCUAAUACCGCAUACCAUCGGAUGUGCCCCGAUGGGAUUAGCUAGUCGGUGGGGUAAAGGCUCACCGAGGCGACGAUCCCUAGAUGGUCUGAGAGGAUGACCGGACACACUGGAAAUGAGAAACGGUCCAGACUCCGACGGGAGGCAGCAGGGGGGAAUAUUGCACAAUGGGCGCAAGCCUGAUGCAUCCAGGCCGCGUGUAUGAAGAAGGACUUUGGGUUGUAAAGUACUUUCAGCGGGGAGGCGUUACCAGCAGAAGAAGCACCGGCUAACUCCGUGCCAGCAGCCGCGGUAAUUC
rnacentral:rRNA from 1 species